AGAGUUUGAUCCUGGCUCAGAUUGAACGCUGGCGGCAUGCCUUACACAUGCAAGUCGAACGGUAGAGGGGCAACCCUUGAGAGUGGCGAACGGGUGAGUAAUGCAUCGGAACGUGCCCAGUCGUGAGGGAUAACGCAGCGAAAGCUGUGCUAAUACCGCAUGUGAUCUGUGGAUGAAAGCAGGGGACUUGGUAGCAAUACUGGGCCUUGUGCGAUUGGAGCGGCCGAUGUCAGAUUAGCUAGUUGGUAGGGUAAAAGCCUACCAAGGCGACGAUCUGUAGCUGGUCUGAGAGGACGACCAGCCACACUGGGACUGAGACACGGCCCAGACUCCUACGGGAGGCAGCAGUGGGGAAUUUUGGACAAUGGGCGCAAGCCUGAUCCAGCAAUGCCGCGUGCAGGACGAAGGCCUUCGGGUUGUAAACUGCUUUUGUACGGAGCGAAACGGUCUGGGUUAAUACCCUAGGCUAAUGACGGUACCGUAAGAAUAAGCACCGGCUAACUACGUGCCAGCCGCCGCGGUAAUAC
rnacentral:rRNA from 1 species